GACGAACGUUGGCGGCGUGCCUAAUACAUGCAAGUCAACUGAAAUACCGGUAGCAAUACUGGUAUGGAGGUGGCGCACGGGUGAGUAACACGUAGGUAAUCUGCCUUCAGGUCUGACAUAACCCAUCGAAAGGUGAGCUAAUAUCAGAUGAUGCAGCGGCUUGACAUCAAGACAGUUGUUAAAGCUUCGGCGCCUGAAGAUGAGCCUGCGUCUGAUUAGCUAGUUGGCGGGGUAACGGCCCACCAAGGCUGCGAUCAGUAGCUGGUCUGAGAGGAUGAUCAGUCACACUGGAACUGAGACACGGUCCAGACUCCUACGGGAGCAGCAGUAAGGAAUAUUGCUCAAUGGCCGAAAGGCUGAAGCAGCAACGCCGCGU
rnacentral:rRNA from 1 species